AAAAAGGGGAGCCACACACGCAACAAAUACUCACAAACACAAGCAGCGGUGUAUCUGUGGUCCCCCUCCCCCCCCCAGCCACCCUCCCUCAAACCUCCCAACCCGACCCGACCCACCCCCUUCACUCCUUCGUUUCUUUCUUGUUACCAUCACCCCCUCAUUUCCUUUUGGUACUGUCCAUCCGCGUGUAGGUGCGUGCAUUUGUGUGUGUGUGUGUGGUCUUCAAGUCGACCAUCUCACGAACUCGCACCAAACUUCACCGCUCUUCCCCUCCCUCUCUCUUGUCCCCAUUUUCCCUCCUUCCCUUCUUCAAACACGCACGCGCGCGCGUGCAAGAACCGCAUAAAAGAAGAAAGAAACGUCUGCAAGCAAAGGCCCUUCCCGAUUUCUCUUUUUUUAUUGUUUCUCUGUCCCGCUCGCACACACACUAACUAUCGCUGUGCUUGUGCUCACCACGAGUUUGUGGGCGAUCUGUAGCUGGUUAGCAACUGGUAGCAUCACGACAAGCAGCAGGAGCAGCGGCAAACUUUCCCUCGUUCCCCUUUCUCUCUCGCGCUCUCCGCCACCUUCGUUUUUUUUUGCAAAUCUUCGAUACUAUUCUGGGAGUUGUUUGCUUCUCUGUGUGUGUGUGUGUGUCUUCUUCCUACGCCAGUGAUACUCGCGUGCGCGCUGUGCCUCGGUUCCACUCUGUCUUCUCUGUCGUCUGUACGUGCGCGUGCAUGGUUCUUCCGUGUAUGUAUAUACGUAUAUAUACAUAUACAUACCUGCAUGUAUUGAUCGGGGGUAGCGCGUACGUGGGUACCCGCUCGUGUCUCGUUUUUUUGUUGUUUUUCCGCCAUCGCUGGUAUGGGGGAGGCGGACUUUGGUCAUUGUCGCUUGCCUGUUGAUUUUGAUUGAUUGUGAUUGGUACCUUCUUUUUUCUCUUGCGUCGGAUUGCUCUCUCUCUCUCGUCUACGUGUGCGUAUGUGUGUGUGUGUGUUUGUGUAUUUAUCUACCCCGCGCAUUCCAACACUUGAGAGCGGGGCAUCACCGCCGCCCCACCCCCUGAAGCGGAGCGCAUUACUAUCACAGAAUUUGAAGAAGCGCACACACACGCACCUUCCUCCCUCCUCCCUUCCCUCCUUCGGUGUCUCUUCCUUUGUUACGGAAAACGCGGCCAACAAUAAAAAAACGUGGUUGCGCACGCCGCACAAGAAACAGCACAGAGACGAGGGAGAGUGAGAGUGAGAGAGAGGGGGGCCGCAAGUCCGUGAGUUCGAGCGGCGCUGCCACCGUGCAUUGCAUGUCGCGUGCUGCUUUCCUUUGCGUUGCUGCCUUGCGAAAUAAGUCGUCUAGCAGGCCUCUGUGUCUGUCGGAGUGACGCCCCAAGGCACCUAAAACAAAGUAGAACGGAAAGAAGCAAGGAAUCCAGCCCCACCCCCUCUCUUCUCCUCAUCCCUCAGGCCAGUUGAGACAUAGGCGUGCGAUCGACCACCGCUCCCGCGUACUAUCUCAUUGUCCUCUCCAUCUCUCCUAUUGUGCAGCAUUUCGGAGCCCCAUCCUGUCUUCUCUCAUUUUCCACCUUUUUUGUUUCUUAUUUGUGUGUGUGUGUUGCUUUCUUCUUGCUUCCAUCGCAAGAAAGCCGCGUACUUCCUCUUCACCCCCCCUCCUCCUCUUCUCCCCUCUUGUUCUCACAUUCUGCUGUUACCUUCUUCGGUUUGUGUGUUUUCAUCACCAUCACUUCCCUCCUCCUCCUACCCUCCUCUCCCACCUCACCCCUGCUUCUCCGUCACGUGUGCCUGCAUAUGUGAGCGCAUCCUUUUUGAGUAUUGCGUGUCGUCUUCCUAUUUGGCCACCCGCCGCCUCGUUGUCACUUCUUUUCUUGUUUUUGCCUCCUUUUCUCUUUGAGCGCCGGUCAUCCUCUCCCUUUUUUUUCCUUGGCGUCCCGUCACCGGCCCUCCAUUCGCCCUGCCGUGGUGUUUCGCGCAUGUGUCUGCGUUGAGUCUUUGACUUCCUUUCGUUCCUGCGUUUUUCUAGUGAGCUUGUGUGAUGCAGACACGUGCUCGCUCCGGUGGCACUCGCCCGCUUCCGACGGCCACGUCAGCUGCGUCAGAGACAGACUCCAUCCGUACCGGGGGCUCCUCCGACUCCAACUCGCCCUCGCAUGGGCUGCGCCGGUCGAACCUGCCGGCUCCGCUCGCGCCGGAGGCGCUUUCCAGCUCCCUCCCUGUUUCACAGCGGCUCGACGGCGCCUCGUCGUGCCCUGUGAACCGCGCCGGCAGACUUGCGCCGGACGCUCUGCGUAUGCCGACCCUUUCGCCGGCCGCAUCACCGUUGACCGUGCAGGGCCGCAGCCCGCCGCCUCACCAAAGGGAGGCGUAUCAGCGCCGGGCCCAUCCCGGAAGCGGCGACAAAGGUGGCGGUAAGAUGUCGCUGCCACCCCCAAGCACCCCGACCCAGGCAGGCUCCGCCCCUGUGGACGAAAACGGUGAUGGCAGCGGCCGUCGUGGACACCACAACGCUCGAAGCAGCAUGAACAGCGGCAGCAGCAGCAGCAGUCGUCAUGAGAGAAGCAGCAACGCCCUGGGCCUCCGCACCAAUGAGCCGGCGCCAUCUAUGCCCUCCAUGUCGAGCCGACUGCCGGCGAUGAUGCAGCCAAGCAAGCUGUCGACCUCCACAACAGCCAGCUCCAACGUGUCCACCACCAAUCCACCGGCUCAGCAGCAGCCGGCCUCCACAGCGACCAUGCCGACGGUGCCAACAUCAUCAUCCCGACUGGCGUCGCAACCAGACGUAUCCCUUCUCACGGUCACCUCGCCAGCGCGCAGGUGCUGCCUGGUGGCGGAUAGCAGUGACCGCAGUGCUGAGACCACGCCCGUGUCAACAGUGCAGAUACCCUUGCCACCUCGGUCUCUGCCGCAGGCGCCUGCACCAGCGCAGCGUCCGUCGUCCACGGUGAGUGCGACGUCCGCGAGCAACAGCGUCACUCGCGGCACGGCCCACCAGCGUGAAGCAGAGGCUCGCGCCACUGCUGGAGACGGCAGCACCAGCAAGGAAGCGUACCUGCGCGAUAAUCCGCGGGUGAGGGCGCUCGUGAACAAUAUGUACCAGCAUGUCAUGACGACACAGCCCGAGGAGCCACUUCGGUACCUCGCGCACCUCCGUGCCGGCACAGUGCCGCAGGUGCCAUCCACACACCUCGCGCCGCCGGCCACGCAGCGAGGCGAAGCGAGGCGUACGCCAGGGCAGCAAGCCCGCACCGUGCCGCAGCCACGGCAGCUUUCUAGCAGAGCACACGGCAGCGCCCACCCACCAUACUCACACACAGCGGAGGGGGCUAGCACCUCGAGCGCGUCGGUUUCGUCAGAGCUGCUUCGAGACAGUGGUAGCACGUGCGAUAACGAUGGCGGCCACACAUGGGCAGGGCCGUUGCAGCCAACGCCCCAGCAGCCCGAGAGUGCCGCCUCUCACGGAGGUGACGUUGACCUCACCGACAGCUUUGACAGCGGCGCCGUCAGCAGCGGCGUUGCCAACCGGCCAGCCUCGCUGACAGCGCGUAGUGAUGUAGCUGCUGCUGUCCGCCCUCUUCGCACUCCGCCAUCAGCACCGACGACGUCGCUGCAAUCGCGCGGUGGAAGCAGUGGCGUGAAUGCUGGCGGUCGUGUAAUGCCGCCGUCGAUCGCCGGCACUGUAAUGCACACAAAUGCAAGCAGCAACGCCAUCCUCAGCGGUAGCGCGUCGAGCAAGCACGGGUCCCCGCAACUCCUGCAGCGUUCCGGGCUCGUUACGAACAGCCUGGCGAACAGUGGCUUUCUCUCUGGUGUCGCCGUCGGCAGCGCUGGUCAUCAGGCCGGAAGCAGCGGUGCGCUGCUGCAGCACGCCAGUGGUAGUGUCAGCGCCUUCCGCUCCAGCGGCAUCGCGGCACCGCACUUGGUACCCUCUUUCGCUGGCAGCGUGUCGGGCAUCGAGCGCGGCGAGGCCACCCCGAGCGACCUCAGCUCCCUGUUCAGCACGAACUCGGUGGAUCUGCAGGAGUUCAUUGCGGAGUUUCGCCUCGCCAAGGAAGAGCGCUACGGCGGCAGCGUCGACCAUCCCGCCAUCACGCUGGACGAGCUCGCCUGCAUCAUUGAGUGUAACAGCUUCCCUUGCGCCGACGCGGAGGUGCUGCUGGACUUGUUUGAUGAGCUGCAGCCGUGCGCCCGGUACCUCGCGGGUGUGCAGAACCCCACUCGCUCCCCGCCAGCGGUGUCAGCCACUCUGAAGCGGAACAGCUCACCCCAGCUGCUGCACAGAGGCCUGGGCCCCAGAAGUAUGAGCCCUGUCUCCCUCUUCAACGGAACUGUGGCUGCCACAGCGGCAGCGGAAAGCGCUGCCACCGGCAAAGUGCGCGGAGUUGGCGCCACUAACAGCUCUGCCGUUGCGGCAAUGGGCAACAACGGCAACGCGACCGGGCCAGCGUGGCCUCCGGGGCGGGUGCAAGGUGCCGAGUCGUGUGUGGCCGCUGCACACCCACCCACCAGUGUCGCGGCGAAAGGCAUGAGCCACAGCCACGAACGCUUUGCCGAUGAGGCGCAGUGCAAGGGCUGUGUUACAAUCAGUGGGCGCGCAGACUCCAAGGAUGGCAAGGUCCUGGUGAUCGGCAGUCGUAUUGCAGACGGGGCCCCUUUUGAGUCGUCCAGCGAAGGUGGCAGCUAUAACCCCUACAGCCGCUGCACCUCUGACGCCUUCACCGGUGCCUCAACUCUCCAGCGACAGCAGGGUGUGUCGCAGCACCCCUACUCGGACGGCGCGGACGGUGAGGAGGUGCCGACGGUCCCCUUUGACACCCUUCUUGCGCGCAUGGCCUACAAGAUCCAGGGUCGGUACCCGUCCGAGGCGAUUCGCAUCGCCUUCUACGGUAUGGUGGUGGAUGAAGAGUCGGCAGCGGCUGCCUUGGAGAGCAGUGGGCGCAGUGCUGGACUUGGCGUCGACUGCGCAGCGCUUGUGGCCAACGGACGAGGUUUGCACGGCGUCGUCUCAACAGACUCCCUCACGCCAUCAGAGACGACUGUGAUGGGCAGCAGCAGUGCUGGAAUGGCGACGACUGGCUACGGCACUCUGCCAAGUUGCACUGUCCCUCUCUCGCGCUGCAUCACGGAAGGGCUGUUCGCGCGACUAGGCAUGGUCGAUGUGACGGCAGGCGAGGUGCAGCGUGGCCUCCGCAGUGUCGGGCUUCCAAUAGGCCAGGACGAACAGCGUGUGUACGAGUGCCACCUGGAGGACUUCGCGCGACUGGUCCGCGCCAUCACGGCCGUCUCCGAGCGUGGGUGCAGCGCGAGCCCGGCGAACCCCAGUCUCACGAGUCUGCGCGAGAGCUAUGUGCAGCGCGGCAGCAGCAACAACUUCGCAGUAUGCAACAACAGCAGCGGCGGCACCGUUCCCGCCGCACCAGCUCCAUGGAAGGAGUAGCAGUCAUCGUCGUUGGGUGCCGCAACAGCUGCCGACUGAGCCCGAACGCCGCCAUAUGCAGCGCGCUCCGUUAGCACGGACUUCACGGUUGGUGAUCUCGCUUUUUUUUUCGGACGCACAGGGCUCGUUGAGACGCGUACAGGAGGAGCAGUGAGAGAAGAGGUAAGGAAAAUCGAAGGGAUGCGCCGCUUGUGUCUGUGUCUGUGUCUGUGUGUGUGCGUCUACUCUCUCAAGCUGUAUGUUUUAUUUUGUAAGUAUAUGCAUGUGUACACGUAUACGUGUAUACAUGCAUAUAAGCAGGUGUGUGUCUGGGUAAGCUUUGCUCAGCACGAUGAAACGCGUACGGCCCCAGUUGGGGAGGGGGGGGGGGACCGCACACGCGCAGGUGCAUAUAAAAUAUAUACAUAUAUAUAUAUACGCACACCUCUCAUUUACGUACGAACGGCCAUACAGUCUUCUCCGCUUUUUUUUUCGUCCUUCUCCGCUGUAUUUAUGCUUCGUGCUGCCCCCACCCCACCCCUCCUCCACCUAUUUUUUUCUGAGGGGGCGAAGGAGGUGGGGCGCAAACACAGAAACACAAAGCACAGCAGUGUUGUGUGCACACAGAAUCAGUUCCAAUAGC
rnacentral:misc_RNA from 1 species